rnacentral:rRNA from 1 species
AACGAACGCUGGCGGCAUGCCUAACACAUGCAAGUCGAACGAGACCUUCGGGUCUAGUGGCGCACGGGUGCGUAACGCGUGGGAACCUGCCCUUAGGUUCGGAAUAACUCCCCGACAGGGGUGCUAAUACCGGAUAAUGUCUUCGGACCAAAGAUUUAUCGCCUUUGGAUGGGCCCGCGUUGGAUUAGCUAGUUGGUUGGGUAAAAGCCUACCAAGGCGACGAUCCAUAGCUGGUCUGAGAGGAUGAUCAGCCACACUGGGACUGAGACACGGCCCAGACUCCUACGGGAGGCAGCAGUGGGGAAUAUUGGACAAUGGGCGAAAGCCUGAUCCAGCAAUGCCGCGUGAGUGAUGAAGGCCUUAGGGUUGUAAAGCUCUUUUACCCGGGAUGAUAAUGACAGUACCGGGAGAAUAAGCUCCGGCUAACUCCGUG